rnacentral:tRNA from 1 species
GGCGACAUAGCUCAUUUUGGUUAGAGCGUGGGAGUCAUAACCCCAAGGUGGUUGGUUCGAAUCCAACUGUCGCCA